AUUGAACGCUGGCGGCAUGCCUUACACAUGCAAGUCGAACGGUAACAGGUCUUCGGAUGCUGACGAGUGGCGAACGGGUGAGUAAUACAUCGGAACGUGCCCGAUCGUGGGGGAUAACGGAGCGAAAGCUUUGCUAAUACCGCAUACGAUCUACGGAUGAAAGCAGGGGACCGCAAGGCCUUGCGCGGACGGAGCGGCCGAUGGCAGAUUAGGUAGUGGGUGGGAUAAAAGCUUACCAAGCCGACGAUCUGUAGCUGGUCUGAGAGGACGACCAGCCACACUGGGACUGAGACACGGCCCAGACUCCUACGGGAGGCAGCAGUGGGGAAUUUUGGACAAUGGGCGAAAGCCUGAUCCAGCCAUGCCGCGUGCAGGAUGAAGGCCUUCGGGUUGUAAACUGCUUUUGUACGGAACGAAAAGACUCUUUCUAAUAAAGAGGGUCCAUGACGGUACCGUAAGAAUAAGCACCGGCUAACUACGUG
rnacentral:rRNA from 1 species